GGUAAUAGUGCUGUGCUGCGGAAGAGUGGAGUCUAAACUUUUUCAUUGCCAGUGCCCCGAAACUGGAGUGUGAAGGACCGAGACAAGAUGAAGACUGUGCUCAUGGUUGCCGAAAAGCCGUCCUUGGCACAGUCAAUUGCCAAAAUCCUCUCUAGAGGGAGCCUGUCCUCACACAAAGGGCUGAACGGGGCCUGCUCAGUCCACGAGUACACUGGGACCUUUGCUGGCCAGCCAGUGCGCUUCAAGAUGACGUCUGUCUGUGGUCACGUGAUGACCCUGGAUUUCCUGGGAAAAUACAACAAAUGGGACAAAGUGGACCCUGCAGAACUGUUCAGCCAAGCUCCCACGGAGAAGAAAGAAGCUAACCCCAAGCUGAACAUGGUGAAGUUCCUGCAGGUGCGUGGGGCUGGCCUGGGCAUGAGCACACCAGGGCUCCCCACCCUCCACAGCUGCCAUGUCCUUGCCCACCCUUGCUUGAGUCCUAAUCCCCCUUGGACAGGGGGGCCUUUGCUAGCUCUUUCUGUGAGUGCCCCCUGCUGGACCAGGAGGCACUGCAGGCACCCCCCAACACACAAGGCAGUUGCCAUUGCCAACCCUCAGUCCUGGAGAGCAGGCCUUCUGCUUUUAAAAUAGCUUUUUUGGUCGGGGGUUUUUUCUCCUUAAUUUUAAAACAAAUGCAUACAGAUUAUGGAAAAUUAGAAAGUGCAGAUAAGUAGAAAGACAAACAAAUUAUUCAUAAUCAUAUUACCCAAGACAACUGCUAUUAUCAUUUAGGGUUAUUUCAUUGUA
rnacentral:sRNA from 1 species